GUCUUUAGCUCUACAGAUACAGCAGAGAACAAAGGAGAAUUGGCCUUGCCCAAGUGGAGCUAAAGUCUCUUCUGGAACCUGGAGCACGGAAGGAGACCAAUCUUCCCUACAGACCAAAGAUAAAUUUCUUUUGAAGUACUCUGGAUGGACAAAAAAUCUGUUCAAAAGAUCAAAGGGUGAUUAUUUUACCAAAUUAUUAUUUGAAGAAUACGCUCACCAUGAUCAUACAACUAUUUUUUGAUUUAUGGAAAUACAAUUGGUAUUCAACUUUU